CACACACACACACACACACACACCAGGGGCAAUUUAGAACAGCCAAUCCACCUUUAAAGUUUUCAAUCUGUGGGUGGUGGUGUUAGACUGAAACUCACAAGAGGGAGCUCAUGAUCCACCUUAAAAAUUUUCCCAGUACAAGAAAUGCAGCAGCACAACAGUGAUCUUUCUUUAAAAGCACGAGGAGGCUGUUUGUGCUUCAGACGCUUCACUGAGCCCUAAGAGGCAACAUGAUCAAAGUUCAGCUCCGCUUUAUUGUCUCCCUGCUCUGGCUCACAGACGCUGUCUUCAGCAGCAAAGUCCAGCAGAGUCCUUCUGAUCUAAUUCAAUCCAGAGGAGCUACAGUGGAGCUCAAGUGUCUACAUAGCAUAGAAAGUUACAACAUCAUACUGUGGUAUAAAAGCAAUGCAAGCCACACAUUUGAGUUAAUGGGGUAUCUCUGGAAUAAAAAAGACUAUGUAGAGCCUAAUUUUACAGAGAAAAUUGAACUGAAAGGAGAUGCGAGUAAGAACGGUGCUCUCAUUAUUAAGACGCUUUCAUCAGAUGACAGCACCGUGUAUUUCUGUGCUGCCAGGUUCCACAGUGAUACAAAUCAUUUCACCUCGGCACAAAAAGUUUCCCUGUAA